rnacentral:miRNA from 1 species
AUGCUGCCUUAUAAGAGCUGUG